rnacentral:misc_RNA from 1 species
AAAGUGCGUGAGUGUGGAGGCACUCAGCCUCUCCAGCGACCAAAACAAACAUGGCUCGGCGUGGUUGUGUCCAGGUGGAGCAGCCUCAACUGAGUCAAAUUAGUUACCUGCAGCCGGAGAUCCUGCCGGUGGAGGUGAUGCUGGAUGUCCUGAAGAAGAGAGGGAUAAAGUCUGCUAACCUACAUCAGGCAGAAAGAGCUCAUAUCAUUACUCUGUUUCACAAAUAUGUGAGCCCCAAGCAUCAGCGUGAAUAUCGGGACAAUCGCAGGGGCAAAAUACUGACGAAGAUGAGACGGAAGCUAGAGAAGGAUUCAGGUGAAGAAGACUGGAAAAAGCUUGUGAUGGAGUCAAAGGACAGAUCUUCACUCAUUUCCUCAACAAAUGUUGUUUUGGGUGACUCUGCUGCCAGAGAAAGAUUGAAGCCACCUCCUUCUACCAUUAAUUCGGACCGCAAGAAAAUCAAGUUAGCUGCCACAGCUAAUACUUCAGGCACAACUCUUGAUUUUAUUGUCAUCAAGCGGAGAAGUUCAGAAGAUAGCGAAUUAUCUUCGAGUAAUAAAUUACAAAGAUUGCCACAAGAAGAAAAAUCUCAGAAUAAAAGAAAAGAUUCAGAGGAAUGUCAGAAGGAAGCUAAAAAAAUAAAACUUGUGAAUGGUCAAGAAAAAUCAACUUCGGAAGGAGUAUCCUCUGAAGAUGAAAAGAAGUUAAAAUCAGAGAGAAAACCCAUCAGUUGGCCCUAAAAAAAUUACUGAAUAAUUACAGUUAUGAAGGGUAAAAUUCUAACAUUCUCCAUGUUAUUUUUCAUUUAUUGUAGGUUAUGUUGAAGACACAGAGAAUUGGCUUACGUAUUGCCUUAACAUGCAAGAGUGACCAUCUUUAUGGAUGUUGUAGUCAACCACAACCCCACAACCCAGCUCAGCCAUUGAUCUAAGUCUGAUUGGUUCAGCAUACUGCAUACCACCAAUAAACUCAUUACUAUUAUGCUAUCUUAGCUGGUGGAGGAGUAACUGCUUAUAAAAAUGAGGACCUUAAAUGAUUUAUAGAUAAGUAUAUAAACAUAAACAUAUUAUUUGCCUUUUUUUAAGCAUAUAUUGAAACUUAUACAGUAUAUCAAAUCUCAUGCAACAAACUGAAGACUUCAGCAAGGUACUUCAUCAAAUUAAAACCAGUUAUUUAAGAAAAUACCUAUUGGUCAACAUUGUUUAAAGAGCAGUAACCACUAUUUGACUAAGCAUGUGUUGAUUGUGCCCAGAAGGCCCUGAAAUGACUUAUUUUUACAGAAGUCAUUUCUGGAAUGAUUGAAUGGUGGCUCCCUGAAGCUAACAUUCUGAGAUAGCUCCACACAGAUGCAUCACAUUAUCACAUAAGAAUCCUAAAUAGCUUACCAGAAACCAGAGUCAGAAGCUGGCCCCACUCAGAGGCACAGGGAGCAGGGGAUUGUUACAAUCACCCUCACCAAGGAAGAAUUCAGAAAGUAAGUGAAGCAAUACAGACAACUUGCAAGGUUCACAUAAAACAACUGAAGCAGCAAACGAUUCACGCAGUAGCUAGAUUCAGCCCGUCCUCUAAACAAAGACCCAAAGUCCAUUCCAUGCGCUUGCCAAACCCCCUGUUUAUGAAUCAAAAGCAGUUUACACGCCACUCACAACUGAUGACGUUCGAACACUUCUGAAAC